rnacentral:misc_RNA from 1 species
ACGAGUGAGGGUCGUCCAGGCCCGACCUCCCAACCCUUUGUUUACCGAACCUCUGUUGCUUCGGCGGACCCGCCUCACGGCCGCCGGAGGACCGUCGCAAGACGUCCUCUGGCCCGCGUCCGCCGACGGCCAACCUCUCAAAACCCUGAACCAACCGUGUCGUGUGUCUCAGUUUAUGAUUAAAUUAAAGCA